AAAGGCCUGUGUGCCUGCUUGUUGAGUUGAGUUGAGCUGAGGAAUGAAUAAAGAAGUAUUUGUUUACAACAUGUCUCUUGCUUCAAUGCCGCGGACUCCAAAACAUAAAAAGAACUUUCAAUAAAAAGGUUUCCUGAGUUCUGCAUCUGACACCGUGAUGCUUUCAUUUCUGCUGUUUUAAUGAUUCGAGAAGAAUGACCUGAUCUAUGCUAGCGAUUUGGCCUUUGGCAACUUUGCAGAGUCAUCUUCCUGUCUGGCUCUCCUCUUCAAUAAACUGCAACCUUCUUUCUAAAGCAGUCGCCAUGUUGUUUAUCCCCGGCUUGGACUGAACCAGGAUUAAGAUUUUUCCUUCAACAAUACUUUAGAGAAGAAUCUAGGCUGAAACCAAAGUCUCUUGAUAGAAAGAGACGUCUCAAGAUGGCAAAGCUUGAUGUUAAUGCAAAACAGGUCACAUGCAGAGGGUACAGAGAAGCUGCAAACAUCAAGUACCUGUACAUUUAUUAAGAACAUUAGCAAUCUCAAUUUAUCUUAUAAAUUGAAAGAAGAAUAAGGAGAUUGCAAAAGUAGAGAAACUAAGCAUAAUAUUCUAAUCCAGGGGUCGCAACCCACUACCAGACCACUGUCUAUAUUCCAACUGGGCUGCAUGUCAGGCCAAUAUGCCUUGGGUGCAUGUGCAGCUCAACUCGUGUGAGUGGUGGGCUGGUGUGGUCCUGCAAGCACAUGCGAGCUCGAUGCACGUGUGACCCUGAUGUUCAUGUGAGUCAAGCUGUGUGCACACUAGCCUGACACUCAUGCAGGCAAGUUCCCCUAUUCCCCCUCCCAAGUUGGGCCAAGCUGCAAAUGUUGGGGACCACAGUUCUAAUCUCUCCCCCAUCCCCACCACUUUUGUAAAUUGACAGGUAUUUAUCAGCUUUUAUAAAUGAGAAAAGAAGUUUCUGAAAUAUGGAGGUGCAUUGUCCAGAGAUGUUCUUUCAGCUGAGUUCCCCAAAAUCUAUGAGAACAUUAUGGGGUUCCAUUAGAGACUGGGGGGUGGAAGUCCACUUAAAUGGAGCUAGUUUUCUACCACUAGAACUUUGCCUCACAAUUAGAAAUUCCAAGUUUUUUUUAAUGAACAGGCUCAAUGGUCUUGAAACCCCUGUUCUAGAGUGCCUUUCCACAUACCUGCUUUAUCUGUAGCUUUCCCAUAAUCUUUUGUUAUGUUGAUGAAGCACAACCUCUAUCCUGUGGCUACUGUUUCAGUGAAAAGGUUGACUGCUGUGGGCCUGCUCAGCUGGCACGUGCUAAAACAUGUUCCUCAUUCCUGAUCUUCUCCUGAUGGUCUCUAAGGAAAACUCCAAGAAUUUCCCACACAUCCAAAAAUUGUCAUUUUAGUGAAUUGUGGUCCAUUUUUUAAACAGUUAGUGGAUGUCGUUUCUGGAUUUAUAAAAUUACCUUAGUUUCAGGGAGGUUAUAAUAAUCUUGUACUAAAGGAUCAAAAAUACACCAGCAAACAUGACCAAGACAUGUGUCUAAGCCAUAUGGCUUCUGACAUUUAUCUGAAAGUGAGAGAAAGAAGCAGAGGGCUCAGCUGCUACCGAAAGGCCCUUGCAUGAUGGACAGGUUUUCUUGCCUGCAGGAAUAGAUAAAAGUGUGUGAGCAGUUAGAACAUUGGCCUUUUCCUUUGAGGUUUCUAAAUUCAUGACAGGACACUAUCAGUAGAUAGAACCUAUUUCUACUUGCCUUUCAAGCAGUCUAAUUGUCCUUGCAAUUUUGCUGUAACUACAUUUGGGAAUUGUGCGACCCCUCUUUUGGUUUGACAAACACCUUGUGAAUUACUGAUUGCAUUAUACUGUUGAUCCAAUUGUGUAGCUAUUAGCAACCAAGAGCAUGCCAUUACUGCCAUGUAAGCCUGACAUUUGCUCUAAGACAGGUGAGUUAAUUCAACCUGUCAUCCUGAUGCGUGGACGUGUCUAGGGAGUUUAAGGUAACUUCUGCAGGUAUGCGGUGUGCUUUUUUUCUUUCUUUUAAAUAAACAUCUUCAAAGUCUGUUGUAUUUUCCCCCCAAAUUGGCUCGCUGCAUCAUUGUCACACUUAAGAGUAAGAUCAGCCUUUAGAAAAAGAUUAAUAGUACACUCACUGGGAACGAAACAGCUUGGAGAAGAUCCAAUACAUCUGGAUAAUUAGAAGUUCAGAUGAACAAGGAAUGAAGGUAGAUUAAGCACUGCUGCUGCUGCCUCCAAUGGGUUUUCAACGACCGUGUGAAAUUGACCUUGUGAGUUUGCUAGAGACCUGGUACUGAAAGUUUCUUGCCAUCCUGGAGCCUCUCUAGAGGCACUUUUCUCAAUAAUGAUGG